GCACUUUUUCCGCUUUUUGAAGUGGAAGAAAUUUCAAGAUCUGUGAUAUCUAGUAUUGAGGAUGUUUCUGCAAAGAAUGCAACAUCAUCACGGUGCAACUCCGAUGAUGCUUUUUGCCCUAGUGGUUGAAGAAGAGGAAGGAGGCAUCUUGCGCGAGAGAGAGAGAGAGGGCCGUAGUUUCUGAACUUCCAAUCCAAAUCGUCAAAUUUUCAUCAGGAGUUGUUUAAAUUAACUUCCAUAUGUAGGCUUUUGUAAUGAUAUUUUAAUUUUUAAAAUUAUUAUUAUUAUUAUUAUUAUUAUCUAACUACACUUUUGUUAUGAUUUUAGCGAAAAAGAUUUUUGUUGAAAAAAUUUCAAAGCAUUAGGGAAAAUGUCGAGGCAAAAUUAAUUACUUUCUAAUGGUGUUUACUUUUCCUUGUCUUUGCUUCUCUCUCCAAUCCAACCCAAAAGGAAAUUUGUUUUAUUUCUUCAAUUAUAAAUUUCAAACUAUAUGUAAUUAUUCAACCUAAUGUUUUAAAAGGUGAAGGCCUAAGGCAUUUUGGGACUGUAUUUUUUAAAAAUAAUAAAUAAAUAAAUAAAUUUAUAUAUAGUAUAAAGAUGAGAAAUAUUUUAGAAUAAUGGAGGGUCGCUGCAAAGAGAUGAAAGGCUGGAAGGAGUCGUUGGAGGCAGAUCAAAGCUUGGAAGGGACCCUCAAAUCGUGGAGUUGUCGGAGAUGGACGAGAAGCUUGGACGAAUCUUUGGAGGCAGUCGUUGAGUCGUUGGAGAGGGAGAAGAAGCUUUGCCGAGAGAGCAGAAGCUAUCGUCGGGGAGAAGACUCACUGGAGGCUUCGUCGAGAGCAGAAGCUUCGCCGAGAAAGCAGAAGCUAUUGUCGAGGAGAAGACUCACUGGAGGCUUCGUCAAGAGCAGAAGCUUCGCCGAGAGAGAAGCUUCGUCGAAGAGAGGGAGGAAAGGGUUUUAGAUUCAUUAUGGGUUCUUUCUUUUUUAAUUUAUGUAUUAAAUCAAGGAUCCCAACAUGCGUGCGGCUUUACAUUUGAGGCGUAAAAGGCGAGCAUUUUGACAUGAGGCGUAUGCCUUUCUAGAGUUGCACAUUUCCACUUAUGCCUUGGGGCAUUUUAGGCUCAAAUCGCUUGAGGCGCACCUCAAUAAUGCCUUUUAAAACACUGAUUCAACCAAAAAAAAAAAAAAAAUGAAUGCAAUUUUAUGUAAUUAUUAGAUUUUGUGUGAAUGAUUAAUGUAUUUUGUAUAUAAAAAAAAUUGAAUGCACUUGUAUGUAAUUGUUGGAUUUUGUGUGAAUGGUUAAUGUAUUUUGAAUAUAUGAUAUUUUGAUUUGGAUUUUUACAUGAUUUUGUUUGACAUGUAUGUAAUAUGUUAGGCAAAAAUCUU